rnacentral:rRNA from 1 species
CCUACGGGUGGCAGCAGUGAGGAAUAUUGGUCAAUGGACGAGAGUCUGAACCAGCCAAGUAGCGUGAAGGAUGACUGCCCUAUGGGUUGUAAACUUCUUUUAUAUGGGAAUAAAACGUUCCACGUGUGGGAUUUUGUAUGUACCAUAUGAAUAAGGAUCGGCUAACUCCGUGCCAGCAUACGCGGUAAUACGGAGGAUCCGAGCGUUAUCCGGCUUUAUUGGGUUUACAGGGAGCGUAGGUGGAUUGUUAAGUCAGUUGUGAAAGUUUGCGGCUCAACCGUAAAAUUGCAGUUGAAACUGGCAGUCUUGAGUACAGUAGAGCUGGGCGGAAUUCGUGGUGUAGCGGUGAAAUGCUUAGAUAUCACGAAGAACUCCGAUUGCGAAGGCAGUUCACUGGACUGCAACUGACACUGAGGCUCGAAAGUGUGGGUAUCAAACAGGAUUAGAUACCCGAGUAGUC